rnacentral:rRNA from 1 species
GACGAACGCUGGCGGCGUGCCUAAUACAUGCAAGUCGAGCGGACGGAUGGGAGCUUGCUCCCAGACCGUCAGCGGCGGACGGGUGAGUAACACGUGGGCAACCUGCCUGUAAGACUGGGAUAACUCCGGGAAACCGGGGCUAAUACCGGAUAACUCUUUCCCUCACAUGAGGGAAAGCUGAAAGAUGGCAUCUCGCUAUCACUUACAGAUGGGCCCGCGGCGCAUUAGCUAGUUGGUGGGGUAACGGCUCACCAAGGCGACGAUGCGUAGCCGACCUGAGAGGGUGAUCGGCCACACUGGGACUGAGACACGGCCCAGACUCCUACGGGAGGCAGCAGUAGGGAAUCUUCCGCAAUGGACGAAAGUCUGACGGAGCAACGCCGCGUGAGUGAUGAAGGUUUUCGGAUCGUAAAACUCUGUUGUCAGGGAAGAACAAGUACCGGAGUAACUGCCGGUACCUUGACGGUACCUGACCAGAAAGCCACGGCUAACUACGUG